rnacentral:rRNA from 1 species
AGCUAAUACAUGCAAACAGAAUUCCUCUCAGAGAUGGGAGGAAUGCUUUUAUUAGAUCAAAACCAAUCGGUGGCGGACGGCUCGUCCGUUCGUCCAUCGUUUGUUUUGGUGACUCUGAAUAACUUUGUGCUGAUCGCAUGGUCAUCUAGCACCGGCGACGCAUCUUUCAAAUGUCUGCCUUAUCAACUGUCGAUGGUAGGUUCUGCGCCUACCAUGGUUGUAACGGGUAACGGGGAAUCAGGGUUCGAUUCCGGAGAGGGAGCCUGAGAAACAGCUACCACAUCCAAGGAAGGCAGCAGGCGCGCAAAUUACCCACUCCCGGCACGGGGAGGUAGUGACGAAAAAUAACGAUACGGGACUCAUCCGAGGCCCCGUAAUCGGAAUGAGUACACUUUAAAUCCUUUAACGAGGACCAAUUGGAGGGCAAGUCUGGUGCCAGCAGCCGCGGUAAUUCCAGCUCCAAUAGCGUAUAUUAAAGUUGUUGCGGUUAAAAAGCUCGUAGUUGAAUCUGUGUGUCACAGUGUCGGUUCACCGCUCGCGGUGUUUAACUGGCAUUAUGUGGUACGUCCUAUCGGUGGGCUUAGCUCCUUGCGGGCGGUCCAACUAAUAUCCCAUCGCGGUGCUCUUCACUGAGUGUCGAGGUGGGCCGAUACGUUUACUUUGAAAAAAUUAGAGUGCUUAAAGCAGGCUACCUUUGCCUGAAUACUGUGUGCAUGGAAUAAUGGAAUAGGACCUCGGUUCUAUUUUGUUGGUUUUCGGAACCCCGAGGUAAUGAUUAAUAGGGACAGAUGGGGGCAUUCGUAUUGCGACGUUAGAGGUGAAAUUCUUGGAUCGUCGCAAGACGGACAGAAGCGAAAGCAUUUGCCAAAAAUGUUUUCAUUAAUCAAGAACGAAAGUUAGAGGUUCGAAGGCGAUCAGAUACCGCCCUAGUUCUAACCAUAAACGAUGCCAACCAGCGAUCAGUCUGAGUACUUUUAUUGACUCGUCUGGAAGCUUCCGGGAAACCAAAGUUUUUGGGUUCCGGGGGAAGUAUGGUUGCAAAGCUGAAACUUAAAGGAAUUGACGGAAGGGCACCACCAGGAGUGGAGCCUGCGGCUUAAUUUGACCCAACACGGGAAAACUCACCCGGCCCGGACACUGAAAGGAUAGACAGAUUAAGAGCUCUUUCUUGAUUCAUUGGGCGGUGGAGGUCGCUAGAUGGUC